GAGUUUGAUCCUGGCUCAGAUUGAACGCUGGCGGCAUGCCUUACACAUGCAAGUCGAACGGCAGCACGGGAGCUUGCUCCUGGUGGCGAGUGGCGAACGGGUGAGUAAUGCGUCGGAACGUAUCCUGGAGUGGGGGAUAACGUAGCGAAAGUUACGCUAAUACCGCAUAUUCUGUGAGCAGGAAAGCGGGGGACCUUCGGGCCUCGCGCUCUUGGAGCGGCCGAUGUCGGAUUAGCUAGUUGGUGAGGUAAAGGCUCACCAAGGCGACGAUCCGUAGCAGGUCUGAGAGGAUGAUCUGCCACACUGGAACUGAGACACGGUCCAGACUCCUACGGGAGGCAGCAGUGGGGAAUUUUGGACAAUGGGGGCAACCCUGAUCCAGCCAUGCCGCGUGAGUGAAGAAGGCC
rnacentral:rRNA from 1 species